rnacentral:rRNA from 1 species
GAUGAACGCUAGCGGCAGGCCUAACACAUGCAAGUCGAGGGAGAGGUUACCUUCGGGUACCCAAAACCGGCGCACGUGUGCGUAACGCGUAUACAAUCUGCCUUUCACAUAGGGAUAGCCCGAAGAAAUUUGGAUUAAUACCUAAUGGUAUAUAAGAGCGGCAUCGUUUUUAUAUUAAAGCUACGGUGGUGAAAGAUGAGUAUGCGUUCUAUUAGCUAGUUGGAGAGGUAACGGCUCCCCAAGGCGACGAUAGAUAGGGGUUCUGAGAGGGAUGUCCCCCACACUGGUACUGAGAUACGGACCAGACUCCUACGGGAGGCAGCAGUGAGGAAUAUUGGACAAUGGUCGGAAGACUGAUCCAGCCAUGCCGCGUGCAGGAUGAAGGUCCUAUGGAUUGUAAACUGCUUUUGUAAGGGAAGAAUAAGGAGUACGUGUACUUUGAUGACGGUACCUUAAGAAUAAGCAUCGGCUAACUCCGUG